rnacentral:rRNA from 1 species
UACGUAGGGGGCAAGCGUUGUCCGGAUUUAUUGGGCGUAAAGAGCUUGUAGGCGGCCAUACAGGUCAGCUGUGAAAACUCGAGGCUCAACCUCGAGACGUCGGUUGAAACCGUAUGGCUAGAGUCCGGAAGAGGAGAGUGGAAUUCCCGGUGUAGCGGUGAAAUGCGCAGAUAUCGGGAAGAACACCCGUGGCGAAGGCGGCUCUCUGGGACGGUACUGACGCUGAGAAGCGAAAGCGUGGGGAGCGAACAGG